CCUUUGAGAAGGCAAGCUUGAGUAGAAGCAGUAGUGGAGCAGGAAGCCUGAAAAGUGAGCUUUCAGAAAGCACAGACCUGCCACCUGAGGGCUUCCAGGCCCCCUGUGAUAAGGACGAAGACCGAGCCUGUGCUGGAAUCUUGUCAGAUGAUAACUUCAACUUGGAAAAUAUUGAGAAAGAUAUAUAUUCAGAGUUUGAUGAUGAAUUGGACACUUUGGAUAACUCAAGCAGCUCCAGUUCAAGCCCUUUGAAGGAAUCUACAUUCAUCACUUUAAAGAGAAGUUUUAGUGCUUCAGGAGGAGAAAGACAAUCCCAAAAAAG